AUGCCUGUGUGUGUCUUUGAAGAAGAAAGGGAUGAGCCAGUUUGGAAGGUAAUCCGCAGGCACCAAGGGCAGCAAGCCCCCUGCAGUGGGACUGUAUGGCUGUGCCAGAUUGGACCACAGGGACAUCCAGGGUGCCCAAAUCCAAUCCAAUGCAGUAAGGGCAGGUUGAUGGGUCACCAAGAAAACCCACUCAUCACCACUGGCUCCAGAGGAUGGACCUCAGGGGCUGGCACCCCAGGGAUGGUCGAGCUACAAAUGGCAGAGAAUGAACUUAAAGCAGGUAAUUGGAUAACAGGUGUCAGAGGACCGAACAAGCAGAGAGAGAAUGCUGAAACAGUAUUAUUCCUGCAGUUAGAAAUAGCAACUUCUGAAAGAAGCGACCAUCCCAAGGAGACAGAUGGACAUGGUUGAUACCAGGCAGCAGCGGCUGUGUCGUUUGGUGACAUGGAGAAUUCUCAGCCUGGAGGUGUAGGGGUUUCGUGGUGAACAGGAGCUGAAAGUCUUUUGUGGAAAGCCUAUGACUGAAGGAGAGGCAGCAAAGGGCUAUGUCUUGUUUAUUGUCCAAUUUUGAAAUAUUUCUGUUUCAGGGUGUCGCUGGUCGCUAUUUGGCUUGCUUGAUGAAAUCUUUUUCCUGAUCAGCUGGGUUGCACGUAUACUAAUUGGAGAGUUUUGGGCCUUUAUUUUGAUAAAAGCCACCCAUGUGAUGUUUGAAGAGAGAGGGGUCCUCUCUCAGCUCCCUCACUGUAACUUGGCUCCCGGUAAUUCCUGGAGAAAAAAAGUGCAGACUUUGGGCAAAACAAGAGGUGAGACCUCAGCCCGGCCCAUACGUGGCUGACCUCAGCUAAUGACCUCUCAGCCUUGGUUUCAGUUUCUCCAUGUGGUUUUCACAAGAGUGAAAUGAAAUGCCACCCGUAAAGUGUUCUUGUCCUCAUGAAGCCUGCCAUGAUCCGCCUCCUUUCCCCCGCCCUCUUCUUCCCCGUGACUAGGAAAAUUUGCCAGAAGGACCAUAAAGCAUGGCCAGCAUGCAGCCCUGGGCGCCCCUCCUCAGUGGGGCUGUGAUGGCGGAGGCCUCUGAAAGGAGGGUCGUGCUCUCUCUUCCGGUUGUUCUAUGAGUGGUGUGCAGGUUCUCUCUCGUCCCAGGUGGUGGACUGAGCCAUAGUGACAACUUGAGUUCCAACAACCUUGCUCACUUGCUGUGCUAGGCCUUCAGAAGGCUGCAAUAUAUUCCUCCAGAUUCUCCUGGGCAGCCCUGAGGUUGCUUGCCCACCUGCUGUUAUCUACAAAUAAAUUGCUGGCCUGUAGGGAACUGUGAAUGGCA
rnacentral:lncRNA from 1 species